rnacentral:sRNA from 1 species
AAAAACGGUGGCGAUGAUGAAAAAAAGGCCGGACUUACGGCUACUACCACC